UUAAUAUUAAUGCAAAUUUAAAAAUUUGUUUGAUAUUUUGAAUGAAAUUCUUAAUAUAAGUCGAAUAAUGAGUGUCCAGCAACUAGACGCGUUAAUCUCAUAUCUGGAAGAGCAGCCAGAGCUAGCCCUUGGGCGCUGCUCACGCUCGAAGGAGGGGCGCAGUCUGGCGAAAAGACUUUGGCAGGAGUGCGCCGUCUUGAACAGCAUAUCGGCAGACUGCGUCCAAAAGACAGCUGAGCAAUGGCGAAUGUUCUACAAUGAAUAUAAACAUCGGCUCUUAAAAAAAAUUAAAAAGGAAAAAAAAGAAAAAGCAGCCACAGGAGGAGGGCCACCAGUUAUUAUAAAUUUAACCCCCCUCCAAGAGAGGCUUUAUGCAAUUUUGGGCCGGGAUGUGGGUGAACAAUUACCAGGGGUUCGUCAUAACCCGUUAACUUGUUGAUGAAAUGCCACAAGAUGAUCCUGGAUCUCCUCAAAUUGAGUUUAUUGAUUUCGAGCAUUGCCCUGGGCCCUCAGGCUCUCAGCUUCGUGAGCCUUUGGUACCAACAGACCAGUCUGACCAUACAGCCUCUCAGGCUUUAAGAGAGUCUGUGGAGCAUAGAGUCCAAAGCCAACAUUAUCAGUCUGCAAGCUCUCAGGCUAGACAGAUCUCUGAGCAGUCUGUGGAGCGUAGAGUCCAAAGCCAACAAUCUCAGCCUGCAAGCUCUCAGGCUAGACAGAUCUCUGAGCAGUCUGUUCCGCGGCGACGUCGUCGUCGGCGUCAAGAAAUUACUGAACCAGAAGAUCCGUCUUUGCGAAGGGCAACGGAGAGAUUGGAGGCCUUGGAGCAUGCAAGUGCGCAAGCCACUCGAGAGCACGCACAAGCCACAAAUAGGCUAGCCGCAGCGCUCGAGGCCUUAGGGGACAGGCUGAAAAAUCCCUUUAAAAUUAUAUUAGAGGAUCAACCGCAAAUGGAACACCGUGUCAAAAGGAGAAGAAUAAUAAUUGAUUCUGAUAGUGAAUACUGUUUAGUUUUUAG